rnacentral:rRNA from 1 species
UACAGAGGUCCCAAGCGUUGUUCGGAUUCAUUGGGCGUAAAGGGUGCGUAGGCGGCGCGGUAAGUCGGGUGUGAAAUCUCGGAGCUUAACUCCGAAACUGCAUUUGAUACUGCGGUGCUUGAGGACUGGAGAGGAGACUGGAAUUUACGGUGUAGCAGUGAAAUGCGUAGAGAUCGUAAGGAAGACCAGUGGCGAAGGCGGGUCUCUGGACAGUUCCUGACACUGAGGCACGAAGGCCAGGGGAGCAAACGGGG